CGCAUCUGUGCAUGCAGCAUAUCAAUAAGCGGAGGAAAAGAAACUAACAAGGAUUCCCCUAGUAACGGCGAGUGAAGCGGGAAGAGCUCAAAUUUGAAAUCUUAAAGGGUUUCCCUUUACGAAUUGUAGUUUAAAGAAGUGUUUUCUGUUGAGGUUUUGGUAAAAGUUCUUUGGAAUAGGACAUCAUAGAGGGUGAGAAUCCCGUAUUUGACCUUUACUUUCAACUUUGUGAUACACUUUCGAAGAGUCGGAUUGUUUGGGAAUGCAGUCCAAAAUGGGUGGUAAAUUUCAUCUAAAGCUAAAUAUUGGCGAGAGACCGAUAGCGAACAAGUACCGUGAGGGAAAGAUGAAAAGAACUUUGAAAAGAGAGUUAAACAGUACGUGAAAUUGUCAAAAGGGAAGCGUUUGACACCAGUGUUGUUUUUCUGAAAAUCAAUUAAAGAACCGUUUAUGCUAAGUUGUUUAGACUUUAUCAGCUAACUGUUUAGUUUUGAGCUUUUCUUUAAUGCACUUUUCAGUUAACAAGUCAACAUCAAUUUCUUUUGCUGUAAAAAAGCUUGAGGAAGGUGGCUUGAGAUUCGUCUUAAGUGUUUAUAGCCUCUUGCCUACGCAGUCGGAGAGAUUGAGGUCUGCAGCGUAGAUCCUUCGGGGCUAAAUGCAUUUGUGCUAAGUUAUAACAUUUUAUAGACAACUUGUUGACUAUGAUUUGUCUUGUAGCUUACUCGCUUAUGUUAUUUUACCUACGCUUAGGAUGUUGACAGCAGUAUAGACUGU
rnacentral:rRNA from 1 species